rnacentral:rRNA from 1 species
UACGAAGGGGGCUAGCGUUGCUCGGAAUCACUGGGCGUAAAGGGUGCGUAGGUGGAUUUUAAGUCAGGGGUGAAAUCCUGGAGCUCAACUCCAGAACUGCCUUUGAUACUGGGAAUCUUGAGUUCGGGAGAGGUGAGUGGAACUGCGAGUGUAGAGGUGAAAUUCGUAGAUAUUCGCAAGAACACCAGUGGCGAAGGCGGCCUGCUGGGCAGUGGCUGACACUGAGGCGCGACAGCGUGGGAGCAACAGG